GGGUUGUGAGGUUAAGCGACUAAGCGUACACGGUGGAUGCCCUGGCAGUCAGAGGCGAUGAAGGGCGUGCUAAUCUGCGAUAAGCGCCGGUAAGGUGAUAUGAACCGUUAUAACCGGCGAUACCCGAAUGGGGAAACCCAGUGUGACUCGUCACACUAUCAUUAACUGAAUCCAUAGGUUAAUGAGGCGAACCGGGGGAACUGAAACAUCUAAGUACCCCGAGGAAAAGAAAUCAACCGAGAUUCCCCCAGUAGCGGCGAGCGAACGGGGAGGAGCC
rnacentral:rRNA from 1 species